rnacentral:lncRNA from 1 species
AGCGCAAGUCCUGCUCUCCUCCACUUCCCGCACUUUGGCUCCUGUCACCAAGAGGACUUUGGCCAUGAGAAGGGGAUUCCUCUCCGAUACAAGCACAAAACACGUCCCAUCAGUCAACGGCUCCAAGAUCUGUUCAGAACUAGUCAAACCAACCCCCAAAAAACACAGUACAGACACCAAGUCCUCAGCACAAACGCUUCACUCUCCACAUCCCUUUCUAUUCUAUCAUCCUUUUCAUGUGCACUGCUGUAUCUGCUCACGCAGACGCCACCUCACCUGCAAGGUGUCUGCUCCGUGUGCCCACAGCUCCGCAAAGGGCACGGUGACAGCCCCCUGGGGACACCCACGUCACUGAGUCGUUGGCACUGCAGUAGCACCCACAGCUGCUCGCUGCGUGGUUUUCACCAGCUCGUGCUGCAGGGCUGUCCUGGCCUCACGGACUGCGUCACCAGGAGAGGUGAGGGGACAACCAGCCCCAGCCGCACCUCCUCGCUUUACUUAACUGCUGCCACCAUUCCUGCGGAGUCCUACGUGGGCCUAGGAAUUGAGUCCCAGACACGUCAAGCCCUGCUGCCCUGGCGUUGCAAUUGCAGGUGUCCCACAGCACCAGAGCCCAUCUCAGCACCUCCCCACAGCUCCAGGGCCAGCAAAAUCCCGCAACAAGCAGGGCACCAAGAGGGAUGUAGCAGGACCUGCUACCCCAUCUCCUGGGGACCAGGAGCUGCCACACUUUGUCCCCCUGCACAGCCGGUACUGGCAAAGGGACUUCGAGAAAGAGCUCCCAUCGGUCCCACUGGGCCUCGGGCACCUGACCCUCCGCCACCGGGAGGUCUGGAAACAUCAGCCCGGGUUCAUUUCAUAAGCAGGGCUUGGGAUUCCCUCCUCCUCCCUCUCUCCUUUGCUUCAGCAACACAAAGCCACUCUUUCUCCGCUUCCAAAUGGGGUCUGUGGGGCUCUCUGCAUCAGGGAUCAGGAGCAGCUUUGAAAGGAGGAACCCGCGGUUUGACCCCUGCUCUAUGGAGAGACCUUUUGUGCCUCCGCAAAGCUCUGCGCUGCACCAGCCCUGCGCCCGACAGAGGGAAACGCCGCAGGAAGCGGGGAUUUAUUCUGCUGCCAACAAUUGUGAACAGCAGUGUCCUCUGGUGCCGUCAUUGUCCAAAGGUGUUUGAGUGUAAAGCUCACACACAAUAG